rnacentral:lncRNA from 1 species
UUUAUUGUUAUUAUUGUCACAUGCAGAUGGGAUGCAUUUAUUUAUAAGUUCUGGGGAUAGGAUACUUUUUUGCCUGUACUUUUUACAUUCCAGAGUUUGUGCUUGACUUCAUCUUGACUAAGACAGAUGAGAAUAUUUCCUAGAAUUUGUUUUUAGUCUUAUUUGGAUCCUGUCACACUGCAGCAUUUUAUUGUCCUCAGCUGUCUGUGAUCCUGGAAACAUACGUGUGACUGAAGCUCCCAAACACCCAAUCUCUGAAGAACUGGAAACUCCCAUAAAAGACAGCCACCUGAUCCCUACGCCUCAAGCCCCCAGUAUUGCCUUUCCACUCGCCAACCCCCCUGUGGCUCCGCACCCUAGAGAAAAGAUUAUAACGAUAGAGGAGACUCAUGAAGAAUUAAAAAAACAGUACAUAUUUCAGUUAUCAUCUCUGAAUCCUCAAGAACGUAUUGACUAUUGUCAUCUGAUUGAG